AUACGUAGGGAGCAAGCGUUGUCCGGAUUUACUGGGUGUAAAGGGUGCGUAGGCGGCACUGCAAGUCAGGCGUGAAAGGCGGAGGCUUAACCUCCGAGUCGCGUUUGAAACUGUGGUACUUGAGUGAAGUAGAGGUAGGCGGAAUUCCCGGUGUAGCGGUGAAAUGCGUAGAGAUCGGGAGGAACACCAGUGGCGAAGGCGGCCUACUGGGCUUUAACUGACGCUGAGGCACGAAAGCAUGGGUAGCAAACAGGAUUAGAUACCCUGGUAGUCCAUGCUGUAAACGAUGAUUACUAGGUGUGGGGGGUCUGACCCCUUCCGUGCCGGAGUUAACACAAUAAGUAAUCCACCUGGGGAGUACGACCGCAAGGUUGAA
rnacentral:rRNA from 1 species